UACGGAGGAUGCAAGCGUUAUCCGGAUUCACUGGGUUUAAAGGGUGCGUAGGUGGCUAUAUAAGUCAGUGGUGAAAGCCCGCGGCUCAACCGUGGAAUUGCCAUUGAAACUGCAUAGCUUGAGUACAGUUGAAGUGGGCGGAAUACAUCAUGUAGCGGUGAAAUGCUUAGAUAUGAUGUAGAACACCGAUUGCGAAGGCAGCUCACUAAGCUGUAACUGACGCUGAGGCACGAAAGUGCGGGGAUCAAACAGG
rnacentral:rRNA from 1 species